GAUGAACGCUGGCGGCGUGCCUAAUACAUGCAAGUCGAGCGAACGGACGAGAAGCUUGCUUCUCUGAUGUUAGCGGCGGACGGGUGAGUAACACGUGGAUAACCUACCUAUAAGACUGGGAUAACUUCGGGAAACCGGAGCUAAUACCGGAUAAUAUUUUGAACCGCAUGGUUCAAAAGUGAAAGACGGUCUUGCUGUCACUUAUAGAUGGAUCCGCGCUGCAUUAGCUAGUUGGUAAGGUAACGGCUUACCAAGGCAACGAUGCAUAGCCGACCUGAGAGGGUGAUCGGCCACACUGGAACUGAGACACGGUCCAGACUCCUACGGGAGGCAGCAGUAGGGAAUCUUCCGCAAUGGGCGAAAGCCUGACGGAGCAACGCCGCGUGAGUGAUGAAGGUCUUCGGAUCGUAAAACUCUGUUAUUAGGGAAGAACAUAUGUGUAAGUAACUGUGCACAUCUUGACGGUACCUAAUCAGAAAGCCACGGCUAACUACGUGCCAGCAGCCGCGGUAAUACGUAGGUGGCAAGCGUUAUCCGGAAUUAUUGGGCGUAAAGCGCGCGUAGGCGGUUUUUUAAGUCUGAUGUGAAAGCCCACGGCUCAACCGUGGAGGGUCAUUGGAAACUGGAAAACUUGAGUGCAGAAGAGGAAAGUGGAAUUCCAUGUGUAGCGGUGAAAUGCGCAGAGAUAUGGAGGAACACCAGUGGCGAAGGCGACUUUCUGGUCUGUAACUGACGCUGAUGUGCGAAAGCGUGGGGAUCAAACAGGAUUAGAUACCCUGGUAGUCCACGCCGUAAACGAUGAGUGCUAAGUGUUAGGGGGUUUCCGCCCCUUAGUGCUGCAGCUAACGCAUUAAGCACUCCGCCUGGGGAGUACGACCGCAAGGUUGAAACUCAAAGGAAUUGACGGGGACCCGCACAAGCGGUGGAGCAUGUGGUUUAAUUCGAAGCAACGCGAAGAACCUUACCAAAUCUUGACAUCCUUUGACAACUCUAGAGAUAGAGCCUUCCCCUUCGGGGGACAAAGUGACAGGUGGUGCAUGGUUGUCGUCAGCUCGUGUCGUGAGAUGUUGGGUUAAGUCCCGCAACGAGCGCAACCCUUAAGCUUAGUUGCCAUCAUUAAGUUGGGCACUCUAAGUUGACUGCCGGUGACAAACCGGAGGAAGGUGGGGAUGACGUCAAAUCAUCAUGCCCCUUAUGAUUUGGGCUACACACGUGCUACAAUGGACAAUACAAAGGGUAGCGAAACCGCGAGGUCAAGCAAAUCCCAUAAAGUUGUUCUCAGCUCGGAUUGUAGUCUGCAACUCGACUACAUGAAGCUGGAAUCGCUAGUAAUCGUAGAUCAGCAUGCUACGGUGAAUACGUUCCCGGGUCU
rnacentral:rRNA from 1 species